rnacentral:rRNA from 1 species
UCGAACGAUGAUCCCAGCUUGCUGGGGGAUUAGUGGCGAACGGGUGAGUAACACGUGAGUAACCUGCCCUUGACUCUGGGAUAAGCCUGGGAAACUGGGUCUAAUACCGGAUACGACCAUCUGGCGCAUGUCAUGGUGGUGGAAAGCUUUUGUGGUUUUGGAUGGACUCGCGGCCUAUCAGCUUGUUGGUGGGGUAAUGGCCUACCAAGGCGACGACGGGUAGCCGGCCUGAGAGGGUGACCGGCCACACUGGGACUGAGACACGGCCCAGACUCCUACGGGAGGCAGCAGUGGGGAAUAUUGCACAAUGGGCGCAAGCCUGAUGCAGCGACGCCGCGUGAGGGAUGACGGCCUUCGGGUUGUAAACCUCUUUCAGUAGGGAAGAAGCGAAAGUGACGGUACCUGCAGAAGAAGCGCCGGCUAACUACGUGCCAGCAGCCGCGGUAAUACGUAGGGCGCAAGCGUUAUCCGGAAUUAUUGGGCGUAAAGAGCUCGUAGGCGGUUUGUCGCGUCUGCUGUGAAAGACCGGGGCUCAACUCCGGUUCUGCAGUGGGUACGGGCAGACUAGAGUGCAGUAGGGGAGACUGGAAUUCCUGGUGUAGCGGUGAAAUGCGCAGAUAUCAGGAGGAACACCGAUGGCGAAGGCAGGUCUCUGGGCUGUAACUGACGCUGAGGAGCGAAAGCAUGGGGAGCGAACAGGAUUAGAUACCCUGGUAGUCCAUGCCGUAAACGUUGGGCACUAGGUGUGGGGGACAUUCCACGUUUUCCGCGCCGUAGCUAACGCAUUAAGUGCCCCGCCUGGGGAGUACGGCCGCAAGGCUAAAACUCAAAGGAAUUGACGGGGGCCCGCACAAGCGGCGGAGCAUGCGGAUUAAUUCGAUGCAACGCGAAGAACCUUA